rnacentral:piRNA from 3 species
AGGGGUGAACCGGCCCAGGUCGGAAACGGA